rnacentral:rRNA from 1 species
GAUGAACGCUGGCGGCGUGCCUAAUACAUGCAAGUCGAGCGAACAGACGAGGAGCUUGCUCCUCUGACGUUAGCGGCGGACGGGUGAGUAACACGUGGAUAACAUACCUAUAAGACUGGGAUAACUUCGGGAAACCGGAGCUAAUACCGGAUAAUAUAUUGAACCGCAUGGUUCAAUAGUGAAAGACGGUUUUGCUGUCACUUAUAGAUGGAUACGCGCCGCAUUAGCUAGUUGGUAAGGUAACGGCUUACCAAGGCAACGACGGGUAGCCGACCUGAGAGGGUGGUCGGCCACACGGGAAGUGAGACAGGGUCCAGACUCCGGGGGGAGGCAGCGGUAGGGAAUCUUCCGCGAUGGGGGAGAGGCUGACGGAGCAACGCCGCGUGAGUGAUGAAGGUCUUCGGAUCGGAAAACUCUGUUGUUAGGGAGGAAGAAAUGUGUAAGUAACUGUGCACGUCUUGACGGUACCUAGUCAGAAAGCCACGGCUAACUACGUG